GUUGUAUUUGUCCCAAAGACAAAGAACACACUCUUAUUGUCUGUGUGUUUGUUUGUUUGUGUGUUUGUUUGUGUAGUUUGUUUGUUUUGGCGGCUUCCUGUCAGAGGAGGCGCUGUGAGCCUUCAGUGCUGCUUUAAAGACGCAGAAGAAGAAGCUGACCGCGGGGGGUGCAGUUUGUUGACAGUAGCUCAGAGACAAGAUGGACACACAGAGACAAACGGAGACACGCAGACAGACACACAGAGCGAUGUCUCCCCAUUAAUGUCCCGCUGAAACACCUGGAGAACCUGGAAAACCUGGAGGACCUGGAGUCUUUGAGCUGUCAGACCCUUGAUUUCAGCAGAAAGAUGGCGACACCCCCGUCUGUCCUCAGAGAGUUCUGCCCGCUCUACUACCUUCUCAAUGCCAUCCCUGCCAAGGUACUGACCCAGGCCAGACCAGGCCA